AUGACUUUCAGCAUCAUCUUUGUCUGGACUCUGGCAGUGUUUUUUCAAGAAUCCAUUGGGCAGGUGACAGUGACUCAGACUCCCUCACAGCUGCUCGCUCAAAAAGGACAACAAGUCAAAAUAAAGUGUACAACUAGCAGUGCUACUCCCUGCUGUUGUGGUGGUACUGCAUGUAUUAGCUGGUAUCUACAAAAACCUGGAGAAGCUCCUAAACUCCUUAUUUAUGGAGCGAAUCAAGUGCAGUCAGGAACCCCAUCUAGAUUCAGUGGCAGUGGAUCUAACAGUGAUUUCUCUCUGACCAUCAGUGGAGUCCAGACUGAAGAUACAGGAGAUUAUUACUGUCAGAGUUACCACUACAUCAACAGUAAAAGUGUGUUCACACAGUGA